rnacentral:rRNA from 1 species
UGGGGAAUUUUGGACAAUGGGGGAAACCCUGAUCCAGCCAUCCCGCGUGUGCGAUGAAGGCCUUCGGGUUGUAAAGCACUUUUGGCAGGAAAGAAACGUCGCGGGUUAAUACCCCGCGGAACUGACGGUACCUGCAGAAUAAGCACCGGCUAACUACGUGCCAGCAGCCGCGGUAAUACGUAGGGUGCAAGCGUUAAUCGGAAUUACUGGGCGUAAAGCGUGCGCAGGCGGUUCGGAAAGAAAGAUGUGAAAUCCCAGAGCUUAACUUUGGAACUGCAUUUUUAACUACCGGGCUAGAGUGUGUCAGAGGGAGGUGGAAUUCCGCGUGUAGCAGUGAAAUGCGUAGAUAUGCGGAGGAACACCGAUGGCGAAGGCAGCCUCCUGGGAUAACACUGACGCUCAUGCACGAAAGCGUGGGGAGCAAACAGGAUUAGAUACCCUGGUAGUCCACGCCCUAAACGAUGUCAACUAGCUGUUGGGGUCUUCGGACCCUUGGUAGCGCAGCUAACGCGUGAAGUUGACCGCCUGGGGGAGUACGGUCGCAAGAUU